GACAGAGGUGCCGAGCGUUAGGCGGAAUCACUGGGCUUAAAGCGUGUGUAGGCGGACCCGUAAGUGUUCGAGUGAAAUCCCACGGCUCAACCGUGGAAUGGCCGGGCAUACUGCGGGUCUUGAGCGAUCCAGGGGCGGACGGGACAAGUGGUGGAGCGGUGAAAUGCGUAGAUAUGUGGAGGAAUACCGAUGGCAAAGGCAGCCCCCUGGGCUAAAAUUGACGCUCAUGCACGAAAGCGUGGGGAGCAAACAGG
rnacentral:rRNA from 1 species